AGACUGAGACCUUGAGGCCUUGGAAUGUUGGACUGGGGAUGAGGAAACCUCUGGCACGAGAGUCUGCUCUGCUCUAAGAGUGACUUCUGACUUGAGCCUGCAGUGUGCUUUGAGCGAUCCGCCACCAGAUCAUCUCAACUUUGCACGCUUGGGACCACCCAUUUGUGACAAUCAUAAAG